CAGCAGCCCACAGCAUCAUGUUUUAGGAGGAGGGGACACUGACUGAGAAGAGCAGGCUGGUCCGUCACCAGCCAAGGAGAGCAGCCAGGACUGCGUUGGAAGCCAGUGUGUGCGGCUCACCAAUCCGGUCCGUGAGGGCUACACUUUCCUGGGCGCACAGGGAAAAUGGUGUAUUUUUCAGGCUGAUUGUCAGUGUGUGACACCUUCAGACUAAAAAAAGAGAAACGUGGGAUACAGCUUACCUCCUGCUGGAAGUCG